GCCCCGGUAGUGUAGUGGUCAAUCAUCCCAGCCUUUCGAGCUGGGGACUCGGGUUCAAAUCCCGACCGGGGCA
rnacentral:tRNA from 1 species